rnacentral:misc_RNA from 1 species
AUCUGCACAAUGCUGAGUGACCUAGCAAUAAAGAUUAGAAAUCUUGAAUUUCAACUCUUGAGGAAUACUUUUAAAAAAAAAAUGUUCAUUUUCUGCACAUAAGACCUCUGUAUAAGGCAACAAACUGUGAAUACAAACACUUCAACUUCCUCUCCAAUCAGUAGAACUUCCAAAAUCAGAUGACAAAUUCACAAUAUCCAGCAUCUGCAACCUGAUGCGUCUUGUGCUCCUUCAAACCAUCGAUCCCAAGAAGGAUUUGUUGGACCGUGUG